AAAUUGAAGAGUUUGAUCAUGGCUCAGAUUGAACGCUGGCGGCAGGCCUAACACAUGCAAGUCGAACGGUAACAAGAAUCAGCUUGCUGAUUCGCUGACGAGUGGCGGACGGGUGAGUAAUGUCUGGGAAACUGCCUGAUGGAGGGGGAUAACUACUGGAAACGGUAGCUAAUACCGCAUAACGUCGCAAGACCAAAGAGGG
rnacentral:rRNA from 1 species